rnacentral:rRNA from 1 species
UACGAAGGGGGCUAGCGUUGCUCGGAAUCACUGGGCGUAAAGCGCACGUAGGCGGCUUUUUAAGUCAGGGGUGAAAUCCUGGAGCUCAACUCCAGAACUGCCUUUGAUACUGAAGAUCUUGAGUUCGGGCGAGGUGAGUGGAACUGCGAGUGUAGAGGUGAAAUUCGUAGAUAUUCGCAAGAACACCAGUGGCGAAGGCGGCUCACUGGCCCGAGUACUGACGCUGAGGCACGAAAGCGUGGGGAGCAAACAGG